AGAGUUUGAUUCUGGCUCAGAACGAACGCUGGCAGCGUGGAUUAGGCAUGCAAGUCGAACGGGAUCCUAUUUUUUCAAUUCUUCGGAAGAGAAGUUUUAGGUGAGAGUGGCGGAAGGGUGAGUAACGCGUGGGCAAUCUACCUCUAAGUGGGGAACAACUCAGGGAAACCUGGGCUAAUACCGCAUACGGUUACCGGUCGCAUGGCUGGUGGACCAAAGAUGGGGAUCUUCGGACCUGUCGCUUGGAGAGGAGCCCGCGUACGAUUAGCUUGUUGGUAGGGUAACGGCCUACCAAGGCUCCGAUCGUUAGCUGGUCUGAGAGGAUGGUCAGCCACACUGGGACUGAGACACUGCCCAGACUCCUACGGGAGGCUGCAGUCGAGGAUCAUUUGCAAUGCGCGAAAGCGUGACAAUGCGACGCUGCGUGGAGGACGACGGCCUUCGGGUUGUAAACUCCUGUCAUGAGGGAAAAACCAGCGCCGGGUUAAUAUCCCGGCGCUCUGAUGGUACCUCAAGAGGAAGCGACGGCUAACUUCGUGCCAGCAGCCGCGGUAAUACGAAGGUCGCUAGCGUUGUUCGGAUUUACUGGGCGUAAAGCGUGCGUAGGUGGUUCGGUAUGUCGGAUGUGAAAGCCCGGGGCUCAACCCCGGAACUGCAUCCGAAACUGCCGGACUCGAGUCCAGGAGGGGAGAGCGGAAUUCAGGGUGUAGCGGUGAAAUGCGUUGAUAUCCUGAAGAACACCGGUGGCGAAGGCGGCUCUCUGGAACGGUACUGACACUGAGGCACGAAAGCGUGGGGAGCAAACAGGAUUAGAUACCCUGGUAGUCCACGCCGUAAAACGGUGCGCACUUGGUGUGGGAGGUAUUGACCCCUUCCGUGCCGGAGCUAACGCGUUAAGUGCGCCGCCUGGGGAGUACGGCCGCAAGGCUAAAACUCAAAGAAAUUGACGGGGGCCCGCACAAGCGGAGGAGCAUGUGGCUUAAUUCGAUGCAACGCGAAGAACCUUACCAGGGUUUGACAUAUACCUGCACGCUCUCUGAAAGGAGAGAAGCUUUCGAAGGUGGUAUACAGGUGCUGCAUGGCUGUCGUCAGUUCGUGCCGUGAGGUGUUUGGUUAAGUCCAGCAACGAACGCAACCCCUGUGUUUAGUUGCCACCGGUGGUGAUGAGCCACCGAGCACUCUAAACAGACUGCCCGUACAAGCGGGAGGAAGGUGGGGACGACGUCAAGUCAGUAUGGCCCUUACACCCUGGGCUGCACACGUGCUACAAUGGUCGGUACAGAAAGAUGCAAUACCGCGAGGUGGAGCAAAUCCCUAAAACUGGCCCCAGUUCGGAUUGGAGUCUGAAACUCGACUCCAUGAAGUCGGAUUCGCUAGUAAUGCCGUAUCAGCUACGACGGCGUGAAUACGUUCCCGGGCCUUGUACACACCGCCCGUCACAUCAUGAAAGCCGUCUGCACCCGAAGUCGUUGAUCUAACCCGCAAGGGAGGAAGGCGCCGAAGGUGUGGGUGGUGAUUGGGAUGAAGUCGUAACAAGGUA
rnacentral:rRNA from 1 species